ACCCCCUGGCUAUAGGCAAAGAGACACCUGAUUUGUUGUGAUGCUCUUAUAUCAGUCGGGUGCAAAGCAGACAUACAGUCCUUUGUUUAUCCUAGCUUGAUGCCUGGGUUGGUGGCUAGAGCUAUUUUAUGCCUGGGGCACAUAA
rfam:Pteropus alecto contig8248, whole genome shotgun sequence.